GCUGUCUCUACCUCUCUUCCCACACUAAAUGUAUUUACCACGCUUAAUGUAAACAAUGCCACAGACACACUAAGCUCUACUUUAACAACCUGUCUAGACAACAUCUGUCCAAUCUCCUCUAGGCUAGCACGUGCUACACCAGCCAGCCCCUGGCUGCCUGACGUCCUUCUUGAACAUCAGACUGACCUCAGGGCAGCUGAGAGGAGAUGGCAGAAAUCUAAAGAUCCAGCAGAUCGCGAACAAGCUGCUGAAUGACAAUCAGUCAGACUUCAAAAGAGGACACUCCACCGAGACUGCCCUGCUGUCUGUCACUGAGUCGCUGAGGCAGGCGAAAGCUGAAUCCAGAUCAUCCAUCCUGAUUCUGCUGGACCUUUCUGCAGCCUUUGACACAGUCAACCAUCAAAUCUUACUCUCUACCCUCUCCUCGCUGGGCAUCACAGGAACUGUGCUUGACUGGUUUAACUCCUAUCUCUCAGCCCAACGACACCACAGUGACUGCUCAAAUUUCUGCCUGCCUGGCAGACAUCUCGGCCUGGAUGAAGGAGCACCACCUGCAACUCAACCCAGCCAAGACUGAACUCCUUGUCUUUCCAGCCAACCCUGCUGUUGAACACAACAUCACCGUACACCUGGGUGCAACUACAGUAAUGCCUUCCAAAUCGGUCAGAAAUCAAGGGGUAACCAUCGACAACAGACUAAAUUUCACAGACCACAUCUCAAAGACCGCAAGAUCAUGUAGAUUUACACUCUACAGUAUCAGGAAGAUAAGACCCUUCCUCUCUGAACAUGCCACACAACUGCUUGUCCAGUCACUUGUCAUAACUAGACUGGACUACUGUAAAGCUCUCAUUGCAGGCCUCCCUGCAUGUGCAAUUAGACCCCUGCAAAUGAUCCAGAAUGCAGCAGCACGUCUGGUCUUUAAUGAACCAAAGAGAGCACAUGUUACACCACUCCUUGUCUCUCUCCACUGGCUGCCGGUUGAUGCACGUAUCAAAUUCAAGGCUCUGAUGCUGGCAUACAGAACAGUCACUGGGUCUGCUCCAGCAUACCUAAAAUCAUUUAUGCAGAGCUACGCGGCCACUAGAAGCCUGCGGUCGGCUAAGGAACGUCACCUUGUUGUACCAACACAAAGAGGCACCAAAACACUUCAGCUUUCAGCUUCAUCAUACCACGUUGGUGGAACGACCUUCCCAACUCCAUCCAUGAAGCUGACUCACUCUCUGUCUUCAAAAAACAACUAAAAACACAUCUUUUCCAUGAGCACUUAACCAGUCAUUAAAAAAAAAAAAAUUCCUGUUGCAAUUUUUUCUGUUUUGAAUACUAUUCUGAUGCUAGUGAAACUUUGUAAUACGGCACUUUUCAUACCACUGUCUCCUUAAGAUGAUUCACUUAUGUUUUCCUCUUUUGUAAGUCGCUUUGGAUAAAAGCAUCUGCCAAAUGAAUAAAUGUAAAUGUAAAUGUAAAUGUACUUUGUACACAGUGUUGUUACUGCACACUAUUUGUAAUUUAUCAGUAUGUAUACCUUUUCGUUGUCAAAUUGAAAAGCAUUUAAUA